rnacentral:misc_RNA from 1 species
CAGAGUUGCAAAACUCCCCAAACCAUUGUGAACCUACCACUAAACAGUUGCUUCGGCGGGCGGCCGCGAGGGCCCCUUCACGGGGGCCGGAGCGCCCUAGACAGCCCGCCGGAGGUACCCAAACUCUUGUUUAACUAAAGGCCUCUCUGAGUACUGUACUUAAAUAAGUCA